AAUCUUCCAGUUUUUCCACUAGUCAUCAGUCUGGUUCGUUUUCAAGCCAGCCUGGAGUAUUCUCCAGCAGUCCAUUUGGUUUAGCAUCCAAUAGCCAAACUGGAUCUUUUAGCAGUGGCCAGUUUGGUUUAGCCAAGAGCAGCCCACCUAGCCUAUUUUCUAGCACUCAAGCAGGAGGGAUCUCUAAUAGCCAACCUUCUUUCUCAUUUUCUAAUAACCAAAACCCUUUUUCAUCUGGAGGUAUCUACUUCCCAUUACCAAAAUGCAUUUUAUGGGACUUGUCAUUACUUUGAUAUCAGUGACCUAACCUCUACUUUCUUUAGUUACUCCAGUGUCCAUACCUGCAAAGCGAGAUUCUCCAGAUGAUGCAGAGGCUGGUAAGUUUUUUGACCACUGUAAUACUGAUUUAAAACCAAUAUUUAAAUAUCUAUUGUUACAAAAACCAAAGGCGUAAUGGGCGUGUAAAGAUUGGAUUCUUUUGACUCUGCAGAAGAUGAACCACCUCAACCGAGCAGCCCAUCUGUCAAAAAAACCGAAGAGAAGGGAGUUACUGUGGUUCAUGAAGUUAAAUGCAAACUCUAUGUCAAGGUAUGUGUUAUCUGAAACUUGGAUGUUAUCUUUCCCCUUUCUCAAUAUACUGUUCCAAAUACUUUGCUGUUGUUCAUAAAUGUAUAUAGCCAACACGAAUGAAACCAUUAAGGUUGUUAGAGAUGGAAAUGUUUUUUUUUCCUAAUUACUAUUCUUACUCGAAGUCUUAUUAGGUGUUAUAGUGGUUGUGAAGUAGUUUCAUGUCUCUCUAUUUUACUGACAUUGAUGUUCUAAUCUUGCUGUAGUAACUUGUUGUAACUUUGUGUAUUAUGUAGUCAAAUGACCCAACAGAUAAAGGUGCAUGGAAAGAUAAAGGAACGGGGAAUCUCUACAUAAAAUGCAAAGAAGAGAAUCUCGUGGACCAGAGAAGAAACCAAUGGCUGAAGUCAAGAAUAGCGACGUUAAACCAGUUUCAAAUACCAGCUUGUUUACUUCAAACAAUCAGCCUGGGCUCUUCUUAACCAAUCAAUCUUCCAGUUUUUCCACUAGUCAUCAGUCUGGUUCGUUUUCAAGCCAGCCUGGAGUAUUCUCCAGCAGUCCAUUUGGUUUAGCAUCCAAUAGCCAAACUGGAUCUUUUAGCAGUGGCCAGUUUGGUUUAGCCAAGAGCAGCCCACCUAGCCUAUUUUCUAGCACUCAAGCAGGAGGGAUCUCUAAUAGCCAACCUUCUUUCUCAUUUUCUAAUAACCAAAACCCUUUUUCAUCUGGAGGUAUCUACUUCCCAUUACCAAAAUGCAUUU
rnacentral:lncRNA from 1 species